rnacentral:rRNA from 1 species
GACGAACGCUGGCGGCGUGGAUUAGGCAUGCAAGUCGGACGGUAGAGCUUUAUCGUAAGAUAGAGUUUGAGAGUGGCGAACGGGUGAGUAACACGUAGGAAUCUACCCUUAAGACGGGGACAACCCAGGGAAACUUGGGCUAAUACCGGAUGAGAGUGCGAGAGAUUGCAUUUAAAAGGAUGGCGAAAGUUGUCGCUUAGGGAUGAGCCUGCGGUCUAUUAGUUAGUUGGUGAGGUAAGAGCUCACCAAGGCGACGAUGGCUAGCCGGUCUGAGAGGAUGAUCGGCCACACUGGGACUGAGACAUGGUCCAGACUCCUCCGGGAGUUAGCAUCAGGGAAUCUUGCGCAAUGGGCGAAAGCCUGACGCAGCGACGCCGCGUGAGGGAUGAAGGUCUGCGGAUCGUAAACCUCUGUAAGCAGGGACGAAUGCCCCGUUUUGCGGGGAGUGACGGUACCUGCAAAGUAAGCUCCGGCUAACUACGUGCCAGCAGCCGCGGU